rnacentral:rRNA from 1 species
CAGCCGCCGCGGUAAUACGUAGGGUGCGAGCGUUAAUCGGAUUUACUGGGCGUAAAGCGUGCGCAGGCGGCCCGUUAAGACAGGUGUGAAAUCCCUGGGCUCAACCUAGGAAUUGCGCUUGUGACUGGCGGGCUCGAGUACGGUAGAGGGGGGUGGAAUUCCUGGUGUAGCAGUGAAAUGCGUAGAGAUCAGGAGGAACACCGAUGGCGAAGGCAGCCCCCUGGGCCUGUACUGACGCUCAUGCACGAAAGCGUGGGGUGCAAACAGGAUUAGAUACCCUGGUAGUCCACGCCCUAAACGAUGGGUACUAGCCGUUUGGUGCGCGAUAGCGCUGAGUGGCGAAGCUAACGCGUGAAGUACCCCGCCUGGGGAGUACGGCCGCAAGGUUGAAACUUAAAGGAAUUGGCGGG